UACGAAGGGGGCUAGCGUUGCUCGGAAUCACUGGGCGUAAAGGGUGCGUAGGCGGGUCUUUUAAGUCAGGGGUGAAAUCCUGGAGCUCAACUCCAGAACUGCCUUUGAUACUGAGGAUCUUGAGUUCGGGAGAGGUGAGUGGAACUGCGAGUGUAGAGGUGAAAUUCGUAGAUAUUCGCAAGAACACCGGUGGCGAAGGCGGCCAACUGGUCCGGAUCUGACGCUGAGGCGCGAAAGCGUGGGGAGCAAACAGG
rnacentral:rRNA from 1 species